GGGGAAGAAGACAGUUGCAGAUGUUAUGCCAAUUGCUACAGGUCAUGAGUGUGAAGAACUUUAGGCCGAACUCAAGGGAAGGAAUGUUCUGGAGAUGAAUUAUCCAGUUGGACCUUUUGUCCCCAAGGUUUGAAGCAUUGAGUCUGAAGCAUUGUGGACUUCUUUAAGACCUUUCAUAUCGAAACAAGGUUUUGGCAAUAUUAAGCUGGAAUGACCUCUAACAUUAUGGAUAAUGUUCAGUUUAUUCAACAAAGAAAUGUCGGUGUAGUGAUUCGUGAUGAGCAUGAUUUCAAUGU